UGUAAAUUUCAAUUUCAAAAUCAACUAAAAUAAAAAUAUAAUUAUCGUUUUUAUACGAAAGACAUUGCGACAAGUAGCUCGAUUUUAGAUUUGAAUUAUUCACGAUACUUAUAAAUCGAAUGAUCAAUCGAGUAAAUCGAACCAAUCGAUUAAAUGAUAUAAUCGAUUAAUCUACGUAUUUCUACGUAUCGAUAUAAGUUACGAAUUUGCUUCAUAAUUCUAACUCGGUUUGAAAUAAUGUUGUAAUGUUUGUAAUAUGUAUAAUAAUCUGUUGAAACUUCGUACAGCACAAUUAUCACGAUCGCGUCGAGUUGAAUAAUUUUCACGAGCGAUGGAUUGUCGAGAAAUUACGUCUUUAUUCUCCGAGCGACAUAUUGGCACUGGCGAGAAAACAAAUGGGGAUAAAUGAUCAUCACUAUAAGUAACUAUGUAAAUGAAAGAUGCACGUGCCGAUUCUGUAAAAUCGCUACUCUGAAAUGAUCACUGUGUUCUAUACAUGUAUGUAUAGAUAUGUCAGUAAAUAA
rnacentral:lncRNA from 1 species